GAACCUUUUCGGGGUCGGGUGCAAUUCCCAACCGGUGGUAAAGCCCACCAGCCCCCUCUUCUUGCUUUCGCAAGAAAGCAGAGGGGGUAGAUCUGGUGUAAUUCCAGAGCCGACAGUAAAAGUCUGGAUGAAAGAAAAGGAAG
rnacentral:ncRNA from 2 species